GACGUAGGGCGCGAGCGUUGUCCGGAUUUAUUGGGCGUAAAGAGCUCGUAGGCGGUGUGUCGCGUCGGCCGUGAAAACCUGCAGCUUAACUGUGGGCUUGCGGUCGAUACGGGCAUCACUGGAGUUCGGCAGGGGAGACUGGAAUUCCUGGUGUAGCGGUGAAAUGCGCAGAUAUCAGGAGGAACACCGGUGGUGAAGGCGGGUCUCUGGGCCGAUACUGACGCUGAGGAGCGAAAGCGUGGGGAGCGAACAGG
rnacentral:rRNA from 1 species